CAGUCGAACGAGCGAGAGAGAGCUUGCUUUCUUGAGCGAGUGGCGAACGGGUGCGUAACGCGUGAGGAACCUGCCUCAAAGAGGGGGACAACAGUUGGAAACGACUGCUAAUACCGCAUAAGCCCACGGCUCGGCAUCGAGCAGAGGGAAAAGGAGUAAUCCGCUUUGAGAUGGCCUUGCGUCCGAUUAGCUAGUUGGUGAGGUAACGGCCCACCAAGGCGACGAUCGGUAGCCGGACUGAGAGGUUGAACGGCCACAUUGGGACUGAGACGCGGCCCAGACUCCUACGGGAGGCAGCAGUGGGGAAUAUUGCACAAUGGGGGAAACCUUGAUGCAGCGACGCCGCGUGGAGGAAGAAGGUCUUCGGAUUGUAAACUCCUGUUGUUGAGGAAGAUAAUGACGGUACUCAACAAGGAAGUGACGGCUAACUACGUGCCAGCAGCCGCGGUAAAACGUAGGUCACAAGCGUUGUCCGGAAUUACUGGGUGUAAAGGGAGCGCAGGCGGGAAGACAAGUUGGAAGUGAAAUCUAUGGGCUCAACCCAUAAACUGCUUUCAAAACUGUUUUUCUUGAGUAGUGCAGAGGUAGGCGGAAUUCCCGGUGUAGCGGUGGAAUGCGUAGAUAUCGGGAGGAACACCAGUGGCGAAGGCGGCCUACUGGGCACCAACUGACGCUGAGGCUCGAAAGUGUGGGUAGCAAACAGGAUUAGAUACCCUGGUAGUCCACACCGUAAACGAUGAUUACUAGGUGUUGGAGGAUUGACCCCUUCAGUGCCGCAGUUAACACAAUAAGUAAUCC
rnacentral:rRNA from 1 species